ensembl:snRNA U6 U6 spliceosomal RNA
GUGCUCGCUUCGGCAGCACAUAUACUAAAAUUCAACGAUACAGAGAAGAUUAGCAUGGCCCCUGCGCAAGGAUGACACGGGAACAGUGUGAUAACAAUUUCAACAAUAAU